GAUCUCGGUGGGGAGGGAAGGCAGGGGCAGGGGAGGGAGAUGGUGGGUGGUGCCGAUGGCACUUUAGGAUGAGGGCAGAGGGUGAAACGAGGGAGGCCUGAGCGGGGUGACCAGAGACAAGGGUGGGGCCUCUUCCCCCUUGGCCGGCUGGGACGGGAGGGAACGUGGUCCAAGGCCAGUUACAGGACAUGGAGGGACCUGCCACCUGGGGCUGCCUCUGCAGGGUCAGAGGCUGUGGAGAGGGAGGUGGCUGAAGAGAGCGGUGAAGGGUGAGCUGGCAGCCGAGAACGGCUCUCACUGCUCCAGGGACUGCUACCUCCACAUCUGCAGGGUGCGACAGCACCCCCCCCGGACCCCACUCGACAGGGCUGCACCCUCGCUCCCUCCCCGGCUCAGGUUUUCCCCAGAUCAACCUAGAUUCUCCUCCAUGGCAUGUGAGAUUGGGCACGAGCUGGCCGGUGGGCUCCCCAGUCCUGGAAAGGAGUGUGCCUCCCGAGGGGCCCUCCCUGCGCCUUGGCCUGUGCCCACCCACCUCUGAUCCUGCAGGAUUCGGCACAGCUGCCACCGGUCCCAGAAGCUAAAGAGGAGGCAAGGGAGCCCUUAGCCUGUGCCUGCGCCUGGGCAGCCGCCCGUGCCCAGCCAAGCCGAGCUGGGCUUCGAAGCUGCGCGAAGUUCACCGACCCAUCCUCGCCUCCGGGAUGAUUCGGCAGGACUUUCUUGAAAUGGGAGCCGGAGUCUGGAACUCUGGCCUCUGCCCGGAGUCAGGCCGUCGCGGAUCUUGAGACAUCAGGGACACUGGGAGAGUCCUAGGACAAAUGACUACCAUCUGGCCAGGACCCAUCAGACCCCUGUCUUGUGACAUCUUGACCAAAAAUGGAGGAGACAUCCCAUGCAUCCAAAUGUUGUGACUCUGUUCCAAGUUCCAUGUCUCAAGAACUCCUGCUGCGUGUGUUUGGCUCACGCCCCUUCAAAGCACCUUCUUCCCCCACAGGAGCUCCAUGUUUUCAACGACCCUCAUGAGUCCACUCCCUGAGCUCCACAACUGGGAGCUCCUACUCCUGGUUCUGAGUGGGGACAGUCUUCCAGGCCAUCUAACCCUAAUGCCCCAACUGGGGGGCUGGAGACCCCAGACCCCCAUGAGUCAGCUCAUGGACUUGGCGUUUGGCAUAUUCAACAGUAGAGACAAGGUUGAAGAGACAGAAAAGAUUCAGGGACAACAGCGAAAGGCACAGUUAUUGGUGGCAGCCCACCCCUGCCCCACCUCAGGGUGACCCUCACUUGUGAAGACCCAUGGUGAGGACAGAAUCCAGGACACCUGAAUCAGAGCUAGUGUCUCGCUGAGGAAGGAUGUGUUUUAAGUGGGACAGGAGGGCCACUGGAAGGACCAGUGCCCCCAGUCAUGAAGGGGACUUGGGACUCCCAAACCAUUGAUGGCCAAGAGGACUGAAGACUGACAGGCCCAGGAAACCUCCCAGGCUCGCAUGGGACACCUGGUCAUUUCUCCAAAGGAGCCUCGGGUGACCCUUGAUGUGGCAGGUGUACAGGGACACCGUGACCUGGCCCAUGGGGACGGCUGCGGCUGCAAGAACAAAGAAUGCCUGCAGCAAGAAGAUCGCAACAACCAACCACACCCCCUCCCUGUUUUUUUGUAUAAAAGGAGC